AGCUCUCAAGGUGUAUAUCGUCAUUGCUGCGGUUAAAAAGCUCGUAGUUGGAUCUGCGCCGUUGGACCCGGUCCAUCCAAGUGGUGAGAACUGGGCUCCACGGCUUUUCUGUCGGUUUUCGUACAAUGCUCUUCACUGGGUGUUGUGCGUGGCUGGCGAGUUUACUUUGAAGAAAUUAGAGUGCUCAAAACAGGCGUUUUGCCUGAAUAGUUGUGCAUGGAAUAAUGGAACAGGACCUCGGUCCGUUUUGUUGGUUUCGGAACUGAGAUAAUGGUUAAGAGGGACUGACGGGGGCAUUCGUAUCGCUGCGUGAGAGGUGAAAUUCUUGGACCGUAGCGAGACGCCCUACUGCGAAAGCAUUUGCCAAGAAUGUCUUCAUUAAUCAAGAACGAAAGUACGC
rnacentral:rRNA from 1 species